AUGCUAAUAGCGCCCCAUCGUAAAUCCCUCCUCCUGCACUUAGAAGCCUGUGGUUUCUGCUCCACCCCGGGCUGCUGUAGGCACCCCGACGGUGGUGUUGGUGCUGACGUGCAGUCGGAGGGAGGGAAGGUCCCGAUCGGGCUGGGAGGUGCCUGGCCUCCUGCUAUUCCUGGUGCCGGCACCCCGUGGCCCUGGGCAAAUUGCUGCUCCGUGCUGCACCCGCUUCCCCCAUUUGUCGGGGAGGGUAAUAGCACUGCUGUUUCGGCAGCAUCCAGGGCAGUGAGAGCCCAAGGAACGCGGUCAGCUCCAAAAUUGCACAUCUGUCUGGGGCUGCCAGCCUUUCCCAGGAGCCUGCGGGCAGGAUGGCCACGGGGCAGCUGUUCCUCGGCGCCUGCACAGCCUUGCCUCUUGGACCCGGUUAUAGUGCGAUCCCUAGUCCUUUUUGGGCUCCUGCUUUUACACGACGUGUACUUCCAAUUUAUCCAGCCUGAGCACCUCCCUGCAGGCCCCCGGUGCAGCCAGCGCGCGUUGUACCAUGCAGGAGCGUGUGCAGAGGAGGCCUUUGGAUCAAGAUGUGCGAUUUUGAGAGCUUCAGAUCACUCAGCAAAGCAUCCAAACAUUUUGCCCAAGGCACUGGCCAGAACCAGGCUGCCAAUCUGCAAUUUAAUCUUCCUACUUCUGAUAUUUCCAGCUCUAGUGAAACGUGGGCUGAAAGAGCAGCUCUUCUUGAGGAUGUUUAGAAAAAAACUAAUAAAAGCAGCUGUGUGGAACCGGGGGGCGGGGAAAGGCACUGAUUGUUCAUUAAUUGAUAAACCAAAUAUCCCUGUCCAGAAAAUCCCAGGGGUGGAGAGGCAGAGCAGAGUGCAGCAUCCUAUUUCCCCUUCCCCGGAGGAGGAGGAGGCUGGCGAGGCAGCUCGCUCCGUGGGUCAGCUCGUGUCUCGGGGGCUCUGCGUGGCCCCCGAGCCGCAGUGUCGUGCCCGUGCCGGCCCCGAGGGCUGCACCCGACUGAAGCAGCGGGGCCCUGGGAGCGCUGCGGGUGCUGCCGGUUUCGGGUGCACGUUGGAGUGA
rnacentral:lncRNA from 1 species